rnacentral:rRNA from 1 species
GGAGGAAAGCAGGGGAUCGCAAGACCUUGCGCUUUUGGAGCGGCCGAUGUCUGAUUAGCUAGUUGGUGAGGUAAAGGCUUACCAAGGCUUCGAUCAGUAGCUGGUCUGAGAGGACGACCAGCCACACUGGGACUGAGACACGGCCCAGACUCCUACGGGAGGCAGCAGUGGGGAAUUUUGGACAAUGGGGGCAACCCUGAUCCAGCCAUGCCGCGUGAGUGAAGAAGGCCUUCGGGUUGUAAAGCUCUUUCAGCCGGAACGAAACGGUCACGGCUAAUAACCGUGAUCACUGACGGUACCGGAAGAAGAAGCACCGGCUAACUACGUGCCAGCAGCCGCGGUAAUACGUAGGGUGCGAGCGUUAAUCGGAAUUACUGGGCGUAAAGCGUGCGCAGGCGGUUUUGUAAGUCAGAUGUGAAAUCCCCGGGCUUAACCUGGGAACUGCGUUUGAAACUACAAAGCUAG